rnacentral:rRNA from 1 species
UUAAUUUAUAAUUUAAUUUUUUUUUUAGUUUAUUUAAUAUUUAUUAGAAAUAACUUUUUGUUUGUAGUAUAUUUUAUAGAAUUAAUAUUUAUAUAUUUAUAGUUUAUUUUACUGUAAAGGUUGAUAUGUAAUUAUAUAUAAGUAAUUUUUGUUUAUAUGUACCUUUUGUAUCAGGGUUUAUUAAUAUACCUUUGUUAUUUACAUAUUAUCUCGAAAUUAUAAGAGAUAUUCAUUAGUAUUGGAAUUUAUUGUUUUAUAAAUAUUUGAAAAUAGUGAAUAGGGGAGAUAUUCUAUUCAAUUUUAAUUAUAUCUAGUUUUCUAAUAAAUGAUUUUAAUUCAGGAUUAAUAGUUUUAUUUAUAUUUAAAUUGAAUUAAUAUUAAUAUUGUUAAUCUAAUAAGAUUAGGGAUAAGCUUGAUUUUAAUUUUAUAAUUAAUUUUUAAUAAAUAAGAUUUAUAGGUUUAGUAACGUCCAUUAUUUAAUUCGUUAUAGUUAUUCUUGCUUUUAUAUUUAUUUUAUAUUUAUUUAAUUUUUUAUUAGAAUUUUUUAUUUAAUAUAUUUUUAAAAUUAAUAAUGAUAAAAUUAGUAAUUUAUUUUAUUAAUAUAUAGGAACUCGGCAAUAAUUAUGUUUGCCUGUUUAUCAAAAACAUGUCUUGAAUGUUUAUAUAUUUCAAGUCUGACCUGCUCAAUGAUUUAUUUUAUUAUUAAAUAGCCGCAGUAUUUUGACUGUGCGAAGGUAGCAUAAUCACUUGUCUUUUAAUUAAAGGCUUGUAUGAAUGGUUUGACAAAAUAUAUUCUUUCUUUAUAUUAUAUUAUUGAAUUUAAUUUUUAAGUUAAAAAGCUUAAAUUAUUUUAUAGGACGAGAAGACCCUAUAGAAUUUUAUUUAAUAUUUAUUAUUUUAUUUUUUGGUGUUAUUUAUUUUAUUUUAGUUUUAUAUUAAAUUUUGUUGGGGCGACAAGGAAAUUUUUUUAACUUUCUUUUUUUAUAUUUUAUUGAUUUAUAUAUUUAUGAUCCUUGAUUUGGAUUACAAGAUUAAAUUACCUUAGGGAUAACAGCGUAAUUCCUUUUGAGAGUUCAUAUCGAUAGAGGAGUUUGCGACCUCGAUGUUGGAUUAAAAUAAGUAUAAGGUGCAGUAGCUUUAUUACUAGGUCUGUUCGACCUUUAAUUUUUUACAUGAUCUGAGUUCAGACCGGCGUAAGCCAGGUUGGUUUCUAUCCUUAAAUUUAUUUAUACAUUUUAGUACGAAAGGACCAAGUGUUAUAUUAUAAUAAUUAUAUUUAUAUGAUUAAUAUUA